rnacentral:rRNA from 1 species
UACGUAGGUGGCAAGCGUUGUCCGGAUUUACUGGGCGUAAAGAGCGCGCAGGCGGUCGUGCAAGUCGCGUGUGAAAGCCCCCGGCUCAACUGGGGAGGGUCACGCGAUACUGCUCGACUCGAAGGCAGGAGAGGGAAGUGGAAUUCCUGGUGUAGCGGUGAAAUGCGUAGAUAUCAAGAGGAACACCUGAGGUGAAGACGGGUUGCUGGGCUGACACUGACGCUGAGGCGCGAAAGCCAGGGGAGCAAACGGG